AUUGAACGCUGGCGGCAGGCCUAACACAUGCAAGUCGAACGAGUGGCGGACGGGUGAGUAAUGUCUGGGAAACUGCCCGAUGGAUGGGGAUAACUACUGGAAACGGUAGCUAAUACCGCAUACCAUCGGAUGUGCCCAGAUGGGAGUAGCUAGUAGGUGGGGUAACGUCUCACCGCGGCGACGAUCCCUAGCUGGUCUGAGAGGGUGACCAGCCAAACGUGAACUGAUACACGGUCCAGACUCAUACGGUAGGCAGCAGUGGGGAAUAUUUGACAAUGGGCGCAAGCCUGAGUCAGCCAUGCCGCGUGUAUGAAGAAGGCCUUCGGGUUGUAAAGUACUUUCAGCGGGGAGGCGUUACCCGCAGAAGAAGCACCGGCUAACUCCGUGCCAGCAGCCGCGGUAAUUC
rnacentral:rRNA from 1 species